rnacentral:rRNA from 1 species
CCCUUAGAUGUUCUGGGCCGCACGCGUGCUACACUGAGUGGAUCAGCGGGUCAGGUUGCGCGAAAGUGUUUCCUAAUCUUGAAAUCCGCUCGUGAUGGGGAUUGACGGUUGCAAUUUUCCGUCAUGAACGAGGAAUACCUUGUAAGCGCGGGUCAUCAUACCGCGCUGAAUACGUCCCUGCCCUUUGUACACACCGCCCGUCGCUCCUACCGAUUGAGUGGUCCGGUGAGGCUUUGGGAUCUGAGCGGAAAGAGCGUUUCGCUGUUUCUGCUCGGAAAACUCAGUCGAACCUUAUCAUUUAGAGGAAGGAGAAGUCGUAACA